AUUAAAAUUUAUGAAGUUUAAAAGUUCCCAAGUUUUAAGGUUUUAUUUCUUUGUUUGUUUAAUUUAUAUUAUUGAAAUGAGAUUUAAGUCAGUCCUAUAUUAACUAUUCAAGACAUACAUGCAUCAACUUGAAAUAUAACCAAUUAAUUUAUGCUAAUUCUUUUUAAAAUAAACUUUGUUUUAGAUUGCUGAGGAUACUAAAUUUAGAAGAGUGCAAUUCUCAAACCGUAUUAAAGAUGAUUUGUCAAGAAAUAAAGUAGUAAGGGAAAGAGUGUUUCCAGUUUGCUUUCCUUCAAAAAGUUCUUAUACUGGUCCUUUUACUAGAGAUGUAAGAUUUCUUUUUUCUUUUUUGUGUAGAUAAAGUUAAACAAUAGAUUUUAAAAGAAAAAAAACAUUAAAGAGUUAUCCAAAUUAAUUUUCAUUUCUUGUUUGCCUGUUUUAAACAUCUUAAAGUUAGUUUAUUAUUUCAAACAUGUUAUUUAACUUGUUUUGUCAUAUAACAUUUAUUAAAUUUUAACAGUUAUAUUAAUAUGUUUCCAUUUAUUUAAACCAACAACAAUAAGGUUGUAGUAAAUCUUAAUCGCUAUUUUUAUUGCUGUUGUUUAGGAACUUUAGAUUUAAUAUUGUUUAAAAUAUGUAUAAACUUUCUUGUGUUCAGUAUAUUUAGUAUAUCAUAUUUAGUAUCUUGAUCCAGAUUACUUAAGGCCUUAAAUUUAAAUGCCUGCUCCUACUGAUGGUUUUGUUAUAUACUCGGUAUGUUCUUGUACUAUUCCUAAUAUAUGUAAUAUUGUUCAUACAAACUUCAAUAUUUUCACCAGGGGUGGGUUUUGUCACUCACCAAGGAGUUGUUUUUAAACUGUGGCAAUUUGUGAUAACCCGAUCUGUCAAAAAGUUAGGUUAUUACUCAAUUAGCUGUCAGUUUUUGAAAAGUGUGGUUGAAAGUCAAAAAUUCAAAAUUGAUUUCAGUUACUUAUUUUUGGAACAAUUUUUUGCAAGUUUUUUGAGUUUAAAACUAUUGAAACCUAAAUAUUCGUUAAUAGUUCAAUUAGUUUAGUUAUUAAUUUAGUAUUUUUGCUACUUUUAAUGCAUAAAUCCCUGACAUACAACUAUUCUUACCUCUCGUUAAUUUUUUUAGUCUCCAGACUUAACCCAAAAAAAAAACAGAAAAGUAAAAACCUUACUUCUUCAUUCUACACAUUCUCAGAGAGAGGUUGCAAGCGUUUCAAAGUCAGUAGUGAGUCGAA